rnacentral:rRNA from 1 species
GACGAACGCUGGCGGCGCGCCUAACACAUGCAAGUCGAACGGAGUCAAGAGGAGCUUGCUUUUCUUGACUUAGUGGCGAACGGGUGAGUAACGCGUGAGUAACCUGCCCUGGAGUGGGGGACAACAGUUGGAAACGACUGCUAAUACCGCAUAAGCCCACGGAUCUGCAUGGAUCUGCGGGAAAAGGAUUUAUUCGCUCUAGGAUGGACUCGCGUCCAAUUAGCUAGUUGGUGAGGUAACGGCCCACCAAGGCGACGAUUGGUAGCCGGACUGAGAGGUUGAACGGCCACAUUGGGACUGAGACACGGCCCAGACUCCUACGGGAGGCAGCAGUGGGGGAUAUUGCACAAUGGGGGAAACCCUGAUGCAGCGACGCCGCGUGGAGGAAGAAGGUUUUCGGAUUGUAAACUCCUGUCGUUAGGGACG